rnacentral:rRNA from 1 species
CUUUUACUGUAGCAAUACAGUAGAAGUUGAGCGGCGCAAGGGUGCGUAACACGUGGGUAAUUUGCCGUAGAGUUGGGGAUAACUCGCUGAAAGGCGAGCUAAUACCGGAUGUGGUUAUUGGGUGGCAUCACUUGAUAACUAAAGCUGGGGACCGCAAGGCCUGGCGCUCUAUGAUAAGCCCGCGGCCUAUCAGCUAGUUGGUGCGGUAACGGCGCACCAAGGCUAAGACGGGUAGCUGGUCUGAGAGGACGACCAGCCACACUGGAACUGAGACACGGUCCAGACACCUACGGGUGGCAGCAGUCGAGAAUUUUUCUCAAUGGGCGCAAGCCUGAAGGAGCGACGCCGCGUGUGGGAUGAAGGGUUUCGAUCCGUAAACCACUGUCAUUUGUGAACAAUGGUUAUCCAUUAAUAGUGGGUGACUUGAUAGUAAUGAAAGAGGAAGGGACGGCUAACUCUGUGCCAGCAGCCGCGGUAAUACAGAGGUCCCGAGCGUUGUUCGGAUUCACUGGGCGUAAAGGGUGCGUAGGUGGCAUGUUAAGUUUGAUGUGAAAGCUCAGGGCUCAACCCUGAAAUGGCAUUGAAUACUAGCGUGCUGGAGGUUUGGAGGGGGGGACUGGAAUUCUCGGUGUAGCAGUGAAAUGCGUAGAUAUCGAGAGGAACACCAGUGGCGAAGGCGAGUCCCUGGACAACACCUGACACUGAGGCACGAAAGCUAGGGGGGCAAACAGGAUUAGAUACCCUGGUAGUCCUAGCCCUAAACGGUGCGCAUUUGCUGUAAGAGGAAUCGACCCCUUUUGUGGCGAAGCUAACGCGAUAAAUGCGCCGCCUGGGGAGUACGGUCGCAAGAUUAAAACUCAAAGAAAUUGACGGGGGCCUGCACAAGCGGUGGAGUAUGUG